UACGUAGGGUGCGAGCGUUGUCCGGAAUUAUUGGGCGUAAAGAGCUCGUAGGCGGCUCAGUAAGUCAGGUGUGAAACCUCCAGGCUCAACCUGGAGACGCCACCUGAUACUGCUGUGGCUAGAGUCCGGUAGGGGAGCGUGGAAUUCCUGGUGUAGCGGUGAAAUGCGCAGAUAUCAGGAGGAACACCAGCGGCGAAGGCGGCGCUCUGGGCCGGAACUGACGCUGAGGAGCGAAAGCAUGGGUAGCAAACAGG
rnacentral:rRNA from 1 species